AUUGAACGCUGGCGGAAGGCCUAACACAUGCAAGUCGAUCGAGCGGCGGACGGGUGAGUAAUGUAUGGGGACUGCCCGAUAGCGGGGGCUCACUACUGGAAACGGUGGCUAAUACCGCAUACUAUCGGAUAACCCAUAUGGGAUUAUAUAGUAGGUGGGGUAAAGGAUCACCUAGGCGACGAUCUCUAGCUGGUCUGAGAGGAUGAUUAGCCACACUGGGACUGAGACACGGCCCAGACUCCUACGGAGGCAGAAGUGGGGAAUAGUGCACAAUGGGCGCAAGCCUGAUGCAGCCAUGCCGCGUGUAUGAAGAAGGCCUUAGGGUUGUAAAGUACUUUCAUCGGGGAGGCGGUACCCGCAGAAGAAGCACCGACUAACUCCGUGCCAGCAGCCGGGGUAAUUC
rnacentral:rRNA from 1 species